GGAGUUAGCCGGGGUUUCUUUACCAGGUACUGUCAUUAUCAUCCCUGGCGAAAGAGCUUUACGACCCUAAGGCCUUCAUCACUCACGCGGCAUGGCUGGAUCAGGGUUGCCCCCCAUUGUCCAAGAUUCCCCA
rnacentral:rRNA from 1 species